rnacentral:piRNA from 1 species
UAAAAUGUUAGCACAAUGUGGCCUAA